rnacentral:rRNA from 1 species
GACGAACGCUGGCGGCGUGCUUAACACAUGCAAGUCGAACGGUGAACGAGGGAGCUUGCUCCCUCCGGAUCAGUGGCGAACGGGUGAGUAACACGUGAGCAAUCUGCCCCGAACUCUGGGAUAAGCGUUGGAAACGACGUCUAAUACCGGAUACGACGCGGGAGGGCAUCCUCUCCGCGUGGAAAGACCUUCGGAUCGGGCUGAGCUCGAGGCCCAUGAGCUUGUUGGUGAGGUGACGGAUCACCAAGGCGACGCCGGGUUGCCGGCCUGAGAGGGUGACAGGCCACACUGGGACUGAGACACGGCCCAGACUCCUACGGGAGGCAGCGGUGGGAAAUAGUGCACAAUGGGCGGAAGCCUGAUGCAGCAACGCCGCGUGAGGGACGACGGCCUUCGGGGUGUAAACCUCUUUUAGCAGGGAAGAAGCGAAAGUGACGGUACCUGCAGAAAAAGCACCGGCUAACUACGUG